GAGACAGUUCGGUCCCUAUCUGCCGUGGGCGCUGGAGAACUGAGGGGGGCUGCUCCUAGUACGAGAGGACCGGAGUGGACGCAUCACUGGUGUUCGGGUUGUCAUGCCAAUGGCACUGCCCGGUAGCUAAAUGCGGAAGAGAUAAGUGCUGAAAGCAUCUAAGCACGAAACUUGCCCCGAGAUGAGUUCUCCCUGAGACUUAAAGUCUCCUGAAGGAACGUUGAAGACGACGACGUUGAUAGGCCGGGUGUGUAAGCGCAGCGAUGCGUUGAGCUAACCGGUACUAAUGAACCGUGAGGCUUAACCUUACAACGCCGAAG
rnacentral:rRNA from 1 species